GUCUCUAUAGUUCAGUGGAAGAACGUGUGCUUAACAACGACUCCAAGUCAGUGUCCGCACAAGGUCGUGAGAUCGAAACUCACUAGGGAUA